UGGGGAAUCUUGCGCAAUGGGCGAAAGCCUGACGCAGCCAUGCCGCGUGAAUGAUGAAGGUCUUAGGAUUGUAAAAUUCUUUCACCGGGGACGAUAAUGACGGUACCCGGAGAAGAAGCCCCGGCUAACUUCGUGCCAGCAGCCGCGGUAAUACGAAGGGGGCUAGCGUUGCUCGGAAUUACUGGGCGUAAAGGGAGCGUAGGCGGACAUUUAAGUCAGGGGUGAAAUCCCGGGGCUCAACCUCGGAGUUGCCUUUGAUACUGGGUGUCUUGAGUGUGAGAGGGGUAUGUGGAACUCCGAGUGUAGAGGUGAAAUUCGUAGAUAUUCGGAAGAACACCAGUGGCGAAGGCGACAUACUGGCUCAUUACUGACGCUGAGGCUCGAAAGCGUGGGGAGCAAACAGGAUUAGAUACCCUGGUAGUCCACGCCGUAAACGAUGAUUGCUAGUUGUCGGGAUGCAUGCAUUUCGGUGACGCAGCUAACGCAUUAAGCAAUCCGCCUGGGGAGUACGGUCGCAAGAUUAAAACUCAAAUGAAUUGACGGGGUCAUAGCUGUUUCCU
rnacentral:rRNA from 1 species